rnacentral:lncRNA from 1 species
CACAACUAAAUUUACGCUUAAUGACACAAAUCAAUCAUAUUUCAAUACCUAAAUCGUAGCAUAUACUUCAGACUUUUAUAAAUAUGACACAACGGCGAAUUUGACAUACCUUAUUCAAAUGUAACCAUCCAAAAUCAGUGAUAGCAAUUUAUUCAAAUGCCAAUCACGGGUAUCUUUGAUAUACCUCAUCCCCAAGCAAAGAAAUAAUUCAUCCCUAAACCCUUGAGCUAAUACUUCUACCUAUAAAUAUCGAUAUUUUCUACAUAGUAAGAUACAUCACACCUUUUCUCAUCUUAGUCGUUCUCGCUUACCACAA